ensembl:snRNA U6 U6 spliceosomal RNA
GUGCUCGCUUCGGCAGCACAUAUGCUAAAAUUGGAACGAUACAGAGAAGAUAGCAGGCCACUGCGCAAGGAUGACAUGCAAAUUCAUGGAGCAUUCCAUAUUUUU